rnacentral:misc_RNA from 1 species
GAUGAAGAACGUAGUGAAAUGCGAUAAGUAAUGUGAAUUGCAGAAUUCAGUGAAUCAUCGAAUCUUUGAACGCACAUUGCGCCCGGCAGUACUCUGCCGGGCAUGCCUGUUCGAGCGUCAUUUCAACCCUCAAGCCCUGCUUGGUGUUGGGGUCCCACGGCCGCCGUGGGCCCUGAAAGGAAGUGGCGGGCUCGCUACAACUCCGAGCGUAGUAAUUCUGUUUCUCGCUUAGGGCGUUGGGCGGCGCUCCAGCCGUUAAAGUACCCAUCUUUAACUCAAGGUUGACCUCGGAUCAGGUAGGAAUACCCGCUGAACUUAAGCAUAUCAAUAAGCGGAGGA